ACUCAAAUGAAUUGACGGGGGCCCGCACAAGCGGCGGAGCGUGUGGUUUAAUUCGAUGCAACGCGAAGAACCUUACCAAGGCUUGACAUGCUAGUGGUACUGAAUCGAAAGAGGAGGGACCCUUCGGGGAGCUAGCACAGGUGCUGCAUGGCUGUCGUCAGCUCGUGCCGUGAGGUGUUGGGUUAAGUCCCGCAACGAGCGCAACCCUCGCUGUCAGUUAAAUAUCUCUGACGGGACCGCUGGGAUAAACCCAGAGGAAGGUGGGGAUGACGUCAAGUCAGCAUGGCCCUUACGUCUUGGGCUACACACACGCUACAAUGGCCGGUACAAUGGGCUGCCAAGGCGCGAGCCGGAGCUAAUCCCGCAAAACCGGCCUCAGUUCAGAUUGCAGGCUGCAACUCGCCUGCAUGAAGGCGGAGUCGCUAGUAACCGCAGGUCAGCACACUGCGGUGAAUACGUUCCCGGGCCUUGUACACACCGCCCGU
rnacentral:rRNA from 1 species